rnacentral:misc_RNA from 1 species
CCUGAGUUAUCAACUCCCAAACCCCUGUGAACAUACCUUAUGUUGCCUUCGGCGGAGUCAGCCGGCGCGCCCACGGGUAGAACCGGACCAGGCGCCCGCCGCAGGAACCCUAAACUCUGUUUUCAGUGUACUCUCUGAGUGAUAAGAAACAAAUAAAUCA